UACGGGGGGGGGGCAAGCGUUUGUUCGGAAUUACUGGGCGUAAAGGGCUCGUAGGUGGCCAACUAAGUCGGACGUGAAAUCCCUCGGCUUAACCGGGGAACUGCGUCCGAUACUGGCAGGCUUGAAUCCGGGAGAGGGAUGCGGAAUUCCAGGUGUAGCGGUGAAAUGCGUAGAUAUCUGGAGGAACACCGGUGGCGAAGGCGGCAUCCUGGACCGGCAUUGACGCUGAGGCGCGAAAGCCAGGGGAGCAAACGGG
rnacentral:rRNA from 1 species